rnacentral:rRNA from 1 species
UACGGAGGAUGCAAGCGUUAUCCGGCAUGAUUGGGCGUAAAGGGUCCGUAGGUGGGGAUGUAUGUCUAUUGUCAAAGGUUCUGGCUUAACCAGAGACAGGCAGUCGAAACUGCAAAACUAGAGUGCAGUCGGGGCAGGGGGAAUUCCUGGUGUAGCGGUGAAAUGCGUAGAGUUCAGGAAGAACACCGGUGGCGAAAGCGCCCUGCUAGGCUGUGACUGACACUGAGGGACGAAAGCUAGGGGAGCGAAUGGG